GACGAACCGUGCGAACGUUGUUCGGAAUCACUGGGCUUAAAGGGCGCGUAGGCGGGCCGCCGAGUCCGGGGUGAAAGCCCCCAGCUCAACUGGGGAAGUGCCCCGGAGACCGGCGGCCUCGAGGGGGGUAGGGGCGCGCGGAACUUCCGGUGGAGCGGUGAAAUGCGUAGAUAUCGGAAGGAACGCCGGUGGCGAAAGCGGCGCGCUGGACCCCCCCUGACGCUGAGGCGCGAAAGCCAGGGGAGCGAACGGG
rnacentral:rRNA from 1 species